GGGUGGUAAUGCCGGAUGCUCCAGUUGAUCGCAUGGUCUUCUGGGAAAGCUUUCGCGGUAUGGGAUGGGGUCGCGUCCUAUCAGCUUGACGGCGGGGUAACGGCCCACCGUGGCUUCGACGGGUAGCCGGCCUGAGAGGGCGACCGGCCACAUUGGGACUGAGAUACGGCCCAGACUCCUACGGGAGGCAGCAGUGGGGAAUAUUGCACAAUGGGCGCAAGCCUGAUGCAGCGACGCCGCGUGAGGGAUGGAGGCCUUCGGGUUGUAAACCUCUUUUAUCGGGGAGCAAGCGUGAGUGAGUUUACCCGUUGAAUAAGCACCGGCUAACUACGUGCCAGCAGCCGCGGUAAUACGUAGGGUGCAAGCGUUAUCCGGAAUUAUUGGGCGUAAAGGGCUCGUAGGCGGUUCGUCGCGUCCGGUGUGAAAGUCCAUCGCUUAACGGUGGAUCCGCGCCGGGUACGGGCGGGCUUGAGUGCGGUAGGGGAGACUGGAAUUCCCGGUGUAACGGUGGAAUGUGUAGAUAUCGGGAAAGAACACCA
rnacentral:rRNA from 1 species